ensembl:lncRNA
AGAGCUCCCAUUUCUCUGCAGGGGCCAGGAGAGGACUGGAUAGGAAGCCUGGCUGGUGAAUGAUGCUUCUCAGGCAAGACUGAGACAAAUUUGGAGGCUCCUGUGUUGGUGCCCUGUAGCCUGGAGCCAAGCCACCGCAGACCUGGCUCCCCUUCACUUCAGGACUGCUGCAGAAAGCACUGGGUAUUUUUCCACUGGAGGAAGGCUUAGAGUGUAUGUGGUGAUAAAACUCCUCCUUGAAGAUGACUCAGCUGUUCUGAUCUUCUGCCAAAGUCCUAUUCAAGAGAGUUGAAGGAGGCUCCAGACAGGGAAGGUAGACUGCCUGCAGCGGGAAAGUUCUCUGCAAGAGCCUGUGUAUCAAAGUUUCAGAAGAAACCUAAGAAUUUCAGUCAAUUGGGAUGAAUGGAUACCAGUGGAUUGUCCAUGAUCUGAGAUCCGGAGUGGAAUUGCAGGAUUGUAUCCAAUUUAAAAAGUGGGCAGAGGACCUGAAG